rnacentral:rRNA from 1 species
GGACUUGGAGUAUACUGGCAGCGCUUAUACGUGGCAGUACGAGCGGAAACGAUGGGAGCUUGCUCCCAGGCGUCGAGCGGCGGACGGGCGAGUAACGCGUAGGAAUCUACCCAGUAGUGGGGGAUAGCCCGGGGAAACUCGGAUUAAUACCGCAUACGCCCUACGGGGGAAAGGCCGGGAUCUUCGGACCGGUCGCUAUUGGAUGAGCCUGCGUUGGAUUAGCUAGUUGGUAGGGUAAAGGCCUACCAAGGCGACGAUCCAUAGCUGGUCUGAGAGGAUGAUCAGCCACACUGGAACUGAGACACGGUCCAGACUCCUACGGGAGGCAGCAGUGGGGAAUAUUGGACAAUGGGCGCAAGCCUGAUCCAGCCAUGCCGCGUGUGUGAAGAAGGCUCUAGGGUUGUAAAGCACU